UACGUAGGGUCCGAGCGUUUGUCCGGAAUUACUGGGCGUAAAGAGCUCGUAGGUGGUUUGUCGCGUUGUUCGUGAAAACUCACAGCUCAACUGUGGGCGUGCGGGGCGAUACGGGCAGACUGGAGUACUGCAGGGGAGACUGGAAGUUCCUGGUGUAGCGGUGGAAUGCGCAGAUAUCAGGAGGAACACCGGUGGCGAAGGCGGGUCUCUGGGCCGAAACUGACGCUGAGGAGCGAAAGCGUGGGGAGCGAACAGG
rnacentral:rRNA from 1 species